UGGGGAAUUUUGGACAAUGGACGCAAGUCUGAUCCAGCCAUGCCGCGUGCGGGAAGAAGGCCUUCGGGUUGUAAACCGCUUUUGUCGGGGAAGAAAUGCUCUGGGCUAAUAUCCUGGGGAGAUGACGGUACCCGAAGAAUAAGCACCGGCUAACUACGUGCCAGCAGCCGCGGUAAUACGUAGGGUGCGAGCGUUAAUCGGAAUUACUGGGCGUAAAGCGUGCGCAGGCGGUUUUGUAAGACAGAGGUGAAAUCCCCGGGCUCAACCUGGGAACUGCCUUUGUGACUGCAAAGCUGGAGUACGGCAGAGGGGGAUGGAAUUCCGCGUGUAGCAGUGAAAUGCGUAGAUAUGCGGAGGAACACCGAUGGCGAAGGCAGUCCCCUGGGCCUGUACUGACGCUCAUGCACGAAAGCGUGGGGAGCAAACA
rnacentral:rRNA from 1 species